GUGGGGAAUAUUGGACAAUGGGCGAAAGCCUGAUCCAGCCAUGCCGCGUGUGUGAAGAAGGUCUUCGGAUUGUAAAGCACUUUAAGUUGGGAGGAAGGGCAGUAAGUUAAUACCUUGCUGUUUUGACGUUACCGACAGAAUAAGCACCGGCUAACUUCGUGCCAGCAGCCGCGGUAAUACGAAGGGUGCAAGCGUUAAUCGGAAUUACUGGGCGUAAAGCGCGCGUAGGUGGUUUUGUAAGUUGGAGGUGAAAUCCCCGGGCUCAACCUGGGAACUGCCUCCAAAACUGCAUGACUAGAGUACGGUAGAGGGUAGUGGAAGUUCCUGUGUAGCGGUGAAAUGCGUAGAUAUAGGAAGGAACACCAGUGGCGAAGGCGACUACCUGGACUGAUACUGACACUGAGGUGCGAAAGCGUGGGGAGCAAACAGGAUUAGAAACCCGGGUAGUCC
rnacentral:rRNA from 1 species